GAGCCCGCGGCGGCAGCUCCCCUCCGCGGCGCCGUCCCCGCCCUGGGCCGUCGGAACUGCGCGCCCGAGUCUGGGGCAGGGCCCGUGGGCGCUGGGCAGCCGGGGUGCGGGAGUGCGGCGGCCGCGGGCUCGGCGGGGCUGGGGAGGGGGCCGGGGGCUCGAGGUGCUCCCGGGACUCCCACCGUGCCGCGUUGCGUGGGCGCCGCCGGCCGGCGUCCCCGGGAGGAGGACGCUGCACGAAGAGGGAAAAAGGAUCGCAGACUGGGACCCCUCCCCAAACCUAGCAGGAGUCCUGCCCAGAGUGCGGCUCUUGUGUGGCCGAGCUGUCUUUAUUUAUCCGUUGGAUGUGACAUCCUGACUUCCUCUGUAGUUGCCCCAGGCUGUGUGCGUGGUGCGGGAUGGGGGCCCCUGGAGACCGCCCUUUCGGAUCGGGCCGGUUCCUCCGAGGAAGAGGUGAAGUCUGCUCGGAGCCUCCGCUCACAGGCGGUGGGCUACGGUCUGCCUGUGUCCACCAGCUUUGUUGGCUUUCCUUGCUGAGACACCACACAGGGCAGCUCUGGAGUCCUGGCUUGGAGAGGUGGGGUUAUUUGCUGAAUCGGAUUGACAGUCCUCGCCGCAGGUCUGUGGAAUGGUAACAGCCACCUUCGCGGGCUCUGCUGCUCUUAACAUUGACACUAACAGGCGCCAAACCAAGUUGCAUGACAAAACUCUUUGCAGCUCUUUCCACAAAAAAAGGAAACGGCUUGCUACCCCCACCCCCACCCCUAACCCCGUUUAUUCGUGGGUAGUGAAAGGAACUUUGUUUUGGGGUCCUGGUAGGCAGAGACGCAAUCUUGACUUUGACCACAGGGUCAGACGUGCCAGCCCUUGGUAUUAAAUACCUCAAACUUGUCCAUGGGUUGCAUCUGCUGCCUUGUGUUCUCCAGUUAGUGUCCAGCCAGAACAUCUUGCAACUGAAAUGCAGUCCGUCACCACAAUGAUUUGCAAUGAUUUGUUCUCCUGCCUUUUAGAUUCAAUUUUUUUAGCUUGUUUUUCCUAAAUAUUUACAGGUGUUUGGCGGGGUUGGGGAUGGGGAAAUCACUGAGUUAAAAUUCAUGUUAUUGUUAAAUUUAGUAGGAAGAGCAGCUGGUACUUGUGAUGAAUGUAUUUGUUCUCAUUGGUUCCAGAGCAUUUAAAAGUGUAAGUUGAUAUCAGGAUUUCCUUCACCUUUUGGUCACAUACUUUGCCAACUGUUAGACAUUUGCUUAUUUUAAAUCCUACAGUUUUAGCAUGUCUUGGGCCUGUCAUCUUUGCUAGUACACGUUGCUGUACUUGUCUGUUAAUCCCUAGAUCUUCAAAGUACAAAGGAUGGUUCUAAUAGGUAUUGUUAUCACAUAUAAGAAAGAACAUCACGUAGAAGUUUACAAUUGUAAGGACUCUAAGGAUGAUCUAGCCCAAACUCUUCAUUCUCUAAAUGACAAAACAGUUCUGGAGAAGUGAAGCAAGUCUUCCUCAAAGAAUGCCAGCUACAGACCUGCAGGACUGGGACUAGCUCUUGUCUUCUGCCUUCCAGGCGCUUGUACUUUCUGCUACGGUUGGUAUAGGACAGCUCCAUCAUCUCAUUGGAUGUGUUGUAAGGGUUACAAGAAAACAUCUCUUCCUAGAUCAAGAUCAACCCUAGUGAGAAGUGUAUUACUUGGUCUUACAAAGAGAGGAAGUUAUUCUUCAGGGCUUAUCAGAGCAGGAAUUUCAAAGAUGUUGCCUUUUGAGAUGUUUCUAAGUAUAUUUCCUUCCUUCCCCCAAUAAACUAGUAUGAGUAUGGAGAGAAAGGAAGAGUCACACAACCUUUAUGUGGUUCCAUCUCCAGAUACAUAAAAAGAACCAAAGGCGUUUUAAGAUUCAAGAACUUCUGAAAAUGGCCAGUCUAUCUUGGGACAAAGUCAGAAGGAGAUGGGGUGGGGAAGUGGCCUGGGUGGGGUGGGGUGGUGAACAACGAUGGUUUCUGUGUAGCUUUAGGUCCAGGAAGUAAGUGUGUGGUCUUUCUUGCCUUAUAUAGUCUUACCUUUUCUGUUUGAGACUCAAUUCUUAGAAGUCAGUUCUUAACCUCACAGAUUAACUUUUAAAACUGUUUGCUUAGACCACUACUAGAAGAGUUUUGCUCCAUCAUUGUGGGCAGGGAGCCGCCUGCUUGGCAUCCCUGCCUUAGAGUUUGUAUAGGAGUGCCUUGCUCUCCAUUUGGCUUCUAGUAAAACAACCACUUCUUAAUUUCUCCCUCCUUUUUUUUUUUUUUUUUUUUUUUUUUUGAGUCAGGGUCUCACUCUGACUCAAUAGUAUGAUCAUGGCUCACUGCAGCCUUGGCCUGCCAGGCUCAAACGAUCCUCCCACCUCAGCCUCCCCAGUAGCUGGGACUAUGGGCACGUGUGCCACCACACCUGGCUAAUUUUUGUAUUUUUUGUAGACACAGAGUUUCGCCAUGUUGCCCAGGCUGGUCUCAAACUCUUGGGCUCAAACAGUCCACCUGCCUCAGCCUCCCAAAGUGCUGGGAUUACAGGCGUGAGCCACUGUGUCUGGCACCUCAUCUGUUGAAUGCCCUAUUUGUGAAGUGAAUCUUGAUUUUUGCUAGGCCUCUUCGAUUUUUUGCUGUUGAUAACUUGAAACACAAAUUGCCUGGAUUUGUCUUUAAAUGUGGCCAAACUCAGGGGUGACAGAUGAUGACAUUUUCUCUCUAGCUAAAGCUGGGUGCAGGAGCUUGCUAGGUGAAGCAGACACUACUUCAGCAGUCAGUCCUGUAGUGACCUCUCAAUCUUGCAAGAGAAGGAAAAUGUUUUUUCCCAACUCUUUUUUUCGGGAGAGUAAAAAGAAAAAGGGAGAGACCAGUGUGAUUUUUAGUCUUUUUUUUUUUUUUUCACUGUGAAAAAGGAACUGGGAGCUAUCACUACAAACAAACAAACUUGGCAUUUAGCACUUCUGCAUUUGUAACUUUUGUAACUGUGUCCCUUCUGUUUUCCUCUUCACAGGGCACACAUAAUUUUUCUUGCAGCCUUAGGGGGCACUAACCAUCCUGGUUUGUGCAGAUUGACUGGUGUCCCAGCAUAUGGGGCUAAAACCGGGAAAAUUCCAGGCGAACUGGGAGGAACUGGUUACCCUGUGUAACACAGAACACCCUCAACUAUGUCAUUAAUAUAAUAAUGUAAUUAGUUCCUUGUAUGUGGACAUUAGGAGUUUUAUAUUUUUUGGUAAAGUGAGAUAAUUUUAAGUUUGGGAAAGAAAAUUUUGUUAAAUACAGAUCUAAGGCAUUUUGACUCAAAGACAGCCAUGAAACCUUUUUGAAAAUUGAUUUGAUAUUGACUUUUUUAGGGUGUUCUUUAGGUCAUAUAGUUAAAGGCACUGUAGUCAUUUUAAGUGUGUGGUCGUAUCUUCAGCCUGGAUCUCUACCCGAAAUUUAUUUUCAGGGUUAUGAAGCUAGGAUGGUAAGUUCUGUUGCGUGUUUAAAGUGUCCACUAUUCUUACCUGCAUUUGUUAACGAUAGCAGAACACUCAUCUCGGAGGCUGCCUGCAGACAAACUGUUUCAGCAGGUGGCCUUUUUGGAGCUUCCUGCCUGGAGGCCUUCUGGUUUGGCAUUCCCUUGCCAAGUCCUAGUUCACACUUGAGUCACCUGCCUUCUUGCCAAAGGCAGUGGCUGGCAGCGGUGGCAGUGGCAAGAGACUAGAAAUCCUGUGUAACUUUGGGAGCAGGAUUUCUAGCCCAUAGUGUGGGGCCUUGGGGCGUGUUACAUAUUUUAUUGGGCUGCCCUUGUUCUUCCAUGGCUCCCUAGAGCACUGGUGUUAAAGCAAACAGUAUGCUGUAGUCCUGUCUUCAGCAGAGAAGAAAGGAAAAGAAAGGCUUUAUUUAGAACCUUUUCUGGUUGUUUCAGGACCCAAUCACAUGGUUUUGAGAGUGCACUUGAGGCUGGUGUUUCAUGGCAGAGACCUAAUAAUGUCACACAUUUAUUGUGCUCUUAUUGUAUACUGGGCCUUUGCAGUGAAUCAUGUCUUAAUCCUCAUAGCCACACUAGGAGGUAGGUGGUGGUGUGAUUUCUAUUUUAUGGAUGAGAAAACAGGAAUAGAGAGGCUAAUUGACCUGUUUAGGGUCAUACGCCCUGUAAGUGAUGUAGCACAUUGUCCUACCCUGGCAGUCUGAUUGCACAGGUGGGGCUCUGACCACAAGGCUAUACUUUUCAUAGUUGAAAGGGCAGUGCAGCCAUGGGAUUAAUGGGUGCCUGAUCUUGUUUACAGAGAAGCGAUUGGAUGAGCAGCGUUCCCUGAACUCCUUCUGCCUCUUGGGCUAGACCCAUUUCUGUACAUAGUAAGGAGCUGCUCUGAGGCCUCUACCCCUGCCUGGCUUAUAUCUGGCUUUUCCCAUUAGCCUCUCCAUUUCCUCACCCCGGUGAAUGAUGUGUUGGUAGUUCAGUGAUUUUUUUUCAUAUAUAUAUAUAUAAAACAAAUGAACCGCGGUCAUUAUAGGAAAAUCAGAAAGCUAGAUGAGCAAACCAAAAAAUUUUAAAACCAUAUGAAGCCUCUAUACUCAAGAGAGAACUAUUCUUGAUGUUUUGAUGUUUCCUUCUAGUCUUCUGUCUGGGUAGCCAGGUAAAAUUUUUAAACUUUCCGUGUGAUAAUAUCAUUACCUUUCAUGUGUGCACAUAGCUGAUAUCUGUGUUCUCUACACCAAUGACUUUUCCAAAUAAACUUAUUCUUCUCUUACAUAUAUGAUUGGCUCUUUAGCCAACACCAGCACAUAAGCUCUAGCUCUGGAUUGAUGGAACCAGCUUUUUUCUUUCUCUUUCUUCUCUUUCUUUUUUGUUUUGUUUUGUUUUGUUUUGUUUUCUUUUCUUUCUUUCUUUUUCUUUCUUUCUUUUUCUUUCUUUCUUUUUUUUUGAUUUCAACUUUUUACUUCCUCUUUUGCUUUGAACAGAGAGCAAAUAUAAACUCAAAAAGGCACAAAUUGUUUGUACCAGAAACAGAAAUGAAAGAUUCUUUAAAAAGAUUUGUAUUUCUACAAGAUAAUGUGAAUUUUUAUAGGCUAAAGUAUAACACGAAAUAAUUUAAAAACAGGCAGAGCUACAGAGAUCUGAUAAUUUUGUGGUUUCCAAAUUUGUUUAAGCUAUAACACUCCUUUUUUUUCCCCCAAAGAAAUUUCAUAUUGAAGCUCAAUAUAUAAAAAAGAUUGGCUUGGACAGUGGUCCCUGAGUCCCUCUUGAAAACUGGUUGGGUUUAGUAUUAUUUGAAAGCCCCUUUGUAUGAGAAAACUCCUGGUGAUUGGUUAAGUGUUUUUUAGUUGUUGUUGUUGUUUUCCUGACACAUCAUGUAUGAAACAACAUUUAUAAAUAUUUGUGAAUGAUUAGGAACUACACAGAACUAGGAUGACUAUAUCAUUUUUAUCUGUUUGAGAAUCAUAGGUGAUACUACUCAAUAUGAAGCCACAAAUAGAUGUGAGCCAGGACUGUCCUGGGUAAACCUGGAUAUGUGGUCAUUAUAUAUUCACAUAGACUCCAUGUUUGCUCACCACAGGCUUGACAGUGACAGUAAACUAGUUUGACUAGGAGACUACUCUGUCUCUUUUGAGUCAGGUCUACAGUGGUGCAGGCAUUACAAAGAUCAUUUUAUGACCUUGUGCAGAGUUGGGAAACAGCUUCCAUCUCACACAUCAGUUCUGAUCGGUCCAGGGCUUGCAGGUGUAAUGUGAUAGAAAUAUUCUGACUCUUGUGGUCAAGGAUCCGAGAAAGUGUGAUUGAUUACCCGUGUUUGCUGUGGGUACACGGGAAGGGAGAAGUGACAUAUGUUGUACAUUAGCCAACCCUUGGCAAGACAUGUUAACCUCUGUAGGCUUCAGGUUUCUCUUUGUAAAACGAAGAGGUUGGACUGAAUGCCCUUAUGGUGCCUCAGCUCUGCCCUCUCCCUUCUGUGCCUUGGUGCCUGUAAUGGAGACCGAUGCUCUUUACAUGGUUUGUGUUAUAGCCUUUCUUACAAAUGUGACUAUGAAGGGUGUAUUUGCAGAUGAGCUCUAAUAAGGCUUUCCAGGUAACAAAGUCAAACAGCUUCAGGUUCCAGAGAAGGAUUUUAACCAAUGUCAAUGACUUAGAACUAAUUCCUAUUCUCCACCCUACUUCAAUUCAUAGAUAAUCUAAGAUUACCCAUUUUAUUUAUUCUGUAUUUUUAUGUUUUUGAGACAGAGUCUCGCUCUGUUGCCCAGGCUGGAGUAUAGUGGUGCAAUCUUGGCUCAUUGCAACCCCCGCCAACCCCCUCCUGGGGUUCAAGCGAUUCUUGUGCCUCAGACUCCCAUGUAGCUGGGAUUACAGGUGUGCACCACUAUGCCUGGCUAAUUUUUGUAUUUUUAGUAGAGAUGAGGUUUCACCGUGUUGGCCAGGCUGGUCUCUUACUCCUGGCCUCAUGUGAUCUGCCUGCCUUAGCCUCCCAAAGUGCUGGGAUUACAGGGGUAAGCCACCACACCUGGCCUAAGAUUGCCCACUUUAUAGAUUACUCCUUUUUAACCUUUUAACCAAUAUAUUAUUUGGCUCUGGCUGCUUUCAGAGGUUGGGAAUGCAGGUAUUUGCCCUUGUCAGUGUUUAUGUUUGUAAAUAUGUUGGUAGCCUAAGAGGUUGAAAUUAAUGAUUCAUGAAUCCAGCUUGUAAUUAUGAUAUUCAUAAUUUUUAAGGAUCUUUUCACUCGCCUCCUCUUUUGAAAUCUUAAAAUUUGGUAUUCUAUAAAGUGAGCUAAGCAAAUAAAUAUAUAGUCCACCUUUGGGCUGUUUCAGAGAUUAUUAAGUCAAUAAUUGUUUGCAUUUCUUGGAUUUUGUUUGCUUAGAGUCCCCUUGCUCCCAUCCUGGGGAAUUUUAAGCAUCCAAGCAUAACUUUCUAGGAUAUCUUUUAUAGCAGAAGACCAUUUUCCCCUAAGAGAGCUUUCAGAGCUUUUGGUAAAAUUAGGGAGACUUGUGGAAACAUCAGUUUGAGCCUAGAUAUGGAAAUUAAUCACAAUUCUAACCUGUCUCUAAAAGUUUUGCUUUUUUUAUUUAAAAAUUUUUGUUUUGCUUUAGUUUGUUUUAAAAAUAACACUAGAUUGGGAAUCAGAAGACGUGGAUUCUACUCAUGGUUCUUCUAACAGUUGUAUGGUUUGGGUUAAGUCCUGGCCUUCGUUUCUUUGUCUGUCAAAAUGGAAACAGGUAGAAAAUUCUCUAAAUUCUUCCAAGCUUUAACAUUCUAAGAUAGCUCCUCACAUAUUUCAAUGUCAGUCUUUUCUCAUCUUGUGGAAUCUCAUUUCAAAAAGUAUCUGCCUUUUAUGAACUUCUGAUUUUCUCCCAAGUGUGUUUGUGGCAGCUUUAAAGUUUCCCAGGUUUGGUAAACACAUCCUGAGUUUUGUCUAAGGGUGAGGAGUCCUUACUCCAAGAAGAUUGUCUUCUGGGAUCUCCAGGAGCCUGGCUGUGGGGACACAGAACCCCUGGGGCUGUUCUCAGUGUGGUCCUUUGAGAAUCCUCUUCAACUUCUUACAGGAUAAAGGGAGCAAUCCCUACAGAGGCCGUGCUUGUCUCUCGUGAGCUGGGGCCCACUUUAGCCUUCUUCAGAGGUGUUGCUUUAGCAAAUACCUUGGAUCCUCCCAGGCAAAAUCCUCUUUUGUUGAACCCAAAUAACAUGUGCAUCUAACAAGUUUAUUUCUCAAGGGUUGGCCCAGAGUUGGGUGCAGUUGACAUGGUGACCACAGACUUUCUCAAGAAAGGAAGAAAAUUCCUACAUGUAAUCAUCAGCCUCCGUAUGGUUAGUCUCUGCAGAGGAGACUUGUUUUGGUGUCUAAGACUGUCAAGAUCAGGAAAAAGGAAAGUGAGCUUAAGAGAAGUCUAAAGACAGAAAGCCAGGCAGACAUUCAGGUCAGCCGGGACAAAUCAACCAAUCAAUUAUUGUUAAACAAUGGCCUCCAAAAGUAGGUGUGGCCUACACCCCAAAGAUGAACACAAUGCUUUAUUGAGUUGGAGUUUGGGAAAGAGAACAUUAGAAUUCAUAUUUCUUUAAGUCAUUCUUUUAAACUUUUAAUUUUUAUGUAGUUUUAGUACAUCUUAUUUGCUAGUACUGUGUAAUCUUUUUGGCUGUAUUUUUCACUGUCUGCCACCUGGCCAAAUCACCGCUUGGGCUAUUGCAGCAGCCUCUGACUGGUCUUCUUCCAUCUGACCUUGGCCCCUACACGCUACUCUCAACGUAGCUCUCAGAGUGAUGGAACUCAGAACUUGUCACUCCUGCUCAAAAACUUCCAGUUUCACUCAGGUGAAAGCUAAGAUCAUUAGAAUGACCUCUGCACUCAGCUCCUCCACUCACCUGUCCAGCCUUGUCUGCUCUCCAUCUCUUCCUGGCUCCUUGGCUCCAGCGACAUGCCAGCUGCGCUCCUGCCUCGGGACCCUUGCUGUUCCUGCUCCCUGUGCAGCUUCCUAGAUAUUUGCAUGGCUCACCUUUACCUCUUUCGGGUCUUUCCUCAGAUGUUACCUUCUCAGUGAGUCCCUUUCUGACCACACUAUUUAAAAUGUCCACUCCACAUUUCCUGUCUGCCUUUCUUUAUUUUCCUCCACAGUACAAAUUCCUCAUACCAUAUAUUUUACUCCCGCCAUUUUAAAAACCAAAACUUACAUGUGGUUAAGAUAUAGAUAACAGGACAAAGAUUAUUUUAUUAGUUGGGUUCAUUCACUGCUGUAUCUUCAGCACUUAGAACAGGGUAAGGUGCACAGUAAAUGCCCAAUAAAUAUUUGUUAAGUGAAUGAAUAUAAAUAUGUAUGUGUAUCUGUAUACGUAUAUGUACAUGUUCAAAUGUUUUUUACUCAUGAAGUGCUCAGACAAAAGAGAAACACUUCUAUAAACAGCUUUCAUUUUACCCUGGGAUGUCAAAUUUCCAUUCAAACAAAAUUAAGAGAAAGUUUUCUGCCCUAUGAAAAUGUAAAAGAUCACAUAUUGUCCUAUUUUCUGGUUAUAUUUUCCCUCUUUUUAAACUGUGCUUUUGGUUGUGACAAUGGUUAGCACUGUAGGUAAUUCUCAGUCGUAGGUAAUUCUCAGUUCCAUUUCUUUUCAGGGGAAGUAUCAAGGUGACACUAGGGGACAGGAAAUAUUGUCCCUAAAUGUUGUAAGAGUAGAUCUGCUAUGUAUUCAAGCAAUCAAGGGGUGUUUAAUGAGCUACAUCUACACAGCAGUGAUACAGCAUAGCUCUGCUGGGGCUCUCUGCUCUCCCCUUCUCCACAAAAGGGAAGGACAGGUAAGAACAGGCACAAUAAAACAGAAAGCAGACAGAAAGAAUUGGGAACAAGGAGAUAAGACAAGAAUCAUGCUUUACAUGAUUUAAUCCUAAUAUUUUUAUAAGAGGAUGGCUAUCAUCACUUCAUUUUAAAGACGAGGAAAAUGAGGCCAGGUGUGGGGGCUCAUGCCUGUAAUCCCAGCACUUUGGGAGGCCGAGGAAGGUGGAUCACCUGAGGUCAGGAGUUUGAGACCAUCCUGGCCAGAGAGAUGGCCAGAGAUGGCUAGAGAUGGUGAAACCCCAUCUCUACUAAAAUUACAAAAAUUAGUCAGGCGUGGUGGCAGGCACUUGUAAUCCCAGCUACUCGGGAGGCUGAGGCAGGAGAAUCUCUUGAACCUGGGAGGCGGAGGUUGCAGUGAGCCGAGAUUGUGCCAUUGCACUCCAGCCUGGGCGACAAGAGUGAAACUCUCUCUCUCUCAAAGGGAAAAUGAAAACUGAGAGGUUGAGUAAUUUUUUUCAGGGUCGCGUGACUCUGGGAGUCACGUCUGGGCAAGCUCAACUCCAAGGUGCACAUUCUUAGCCAUCACACAUUAGGAUUCUUGAAAUAGGUGCAGUGUCACAAGAGGCCUUUUUCCCCGUGGAGCUCACAGUCUAGUUAGAUGAUACUGAAUGCCUUCACAUGAAAGGCCCUCUUUAACGUUUAUUGAGUUCAUGUGGCAUAUGAAACAGUUAUCAAUCCACAUAUAGUGCAGGUUUAGACUAUGCUUAGGGGUAUUGAUUAGGGACUUCAGGAGCCCAGAGAUGGGCAGAGUCAUUAAGAAGGGAGCUGGAGGGAGUCUUAAGUGGUACUUGAGGAAGGGAAUGAUUCAGGCAGCAGAUGUGGGUAGAACCCAAGUGAGUGACAUGUUGUGUACCUCUCAGGUAACCUGGUGACUAAACUUACUGAGUCAUAGGGUUCAUGUUAGGUAGGAAGAAGAGGUAAGGAAAUAUCCAAUUUGCAAACUGGAUAGGAGAGGUGUUUGCAUAUUAACACAUUUUUCUCAGUUGAGUUCUUUGAUAGGUACUACAUGCCCUCUGCCUGAAAAGUUGAUGAAUUUGUGCCUAAGCAAAACUCAUUGUUUCCAUUUGUUGCACAUGACCUUUUACAAAUUAAUUUGUAUUUACUUUGUUCCAAAAAGUAUUGAAGCAUUAAAGUAAGGUGUUGCCUUAUGGGCCCUUCUGUGUCCAUGAUACUCCUGGCUUGAAUAGAAUGUUGCAUGAGGUACCAUGGCAACAUUUUGUGAACAAACAUGUAUUUUGGAGUAGCAAGGACUUCAUUGAAAGGAUCUAGAUGGUUUGGUGAUGUAGGCCAUUGAUGGAAUAAUGUAGUAGGUUUAAAGAUGACUUUUUUUUCCUUCUUAAAAAAUUAUUUCCAUAGGUUUUCCGGGAACAGGUGGUGUUUGGUUACAUGAAUAAGUUCUUCAGUGGUGAUUUCUGAGAUUUUGGUGCACCUGUCACCACUAAAGAACCGUACCCACUGUGUAGUCUUUUAUCCCUCACUCCUUUCUCACUGUUUCCCUGAUUCCCCAAAGCCCAUUGUAUCAUUCUUAUGCGUUUGUGUCCUCAUAGCUUAGCUCCUACUAAUGAAUGAGAACAUAUGAUGUUUGUUUUUCCAUUUCUGAGCUAUUUCAGUUAGAAUAAUCAUCUCCCAUUCCAUCCAGGUUGCUGCAAAUGCCAUUAUUUCAUUCCUUUGUAUGGCUGAGUAGUAUUCCAUGGUGAGAUUCCAGCAGAAGUACUUUUCUGUGAUUUAAACACCUACAUGGGAAUAUCUUGGAGAGUUAGGAAAGAAUUGACUUAUGGAGAUGUCUACAUUAAUAUCUUUCUGGUCUCAAGUUCUUACAGACCACAGUUUUAUUCAGGCAUUCAGCUGCAGUGUGCCCAGCCUCAGGGGAUGAAUGAAUGAAGGCUUCUCUGCUAGUGGCAGUCCUAUUCCCAUUUGCCACAAAUUGGUUGGAAGUGAGCAUGUGACUUUGUUCUGGUCUGUGAGACUUCACGGAAGUUAACUGGGGUCUUCUGGGAAAGAUAUUCCUCCCUUAUAAGAAACAGGUGCAGGGCGAUAUGUACCCAUUGCCUCUCCCUGGCCCCAGCUUUCAUGCUUUGGACAUCCUUGUGUGAUGAUGUGUUGUUGCUGCAGCUAUCUUGCAAUCACAAGGAGAUGGCUGCCAACAACCAAGGCUGGCAGAGUGAGAAGAUGAGCAGAGCCUGGACCUACGAUGACAUCACCACGCCACUGAACUACCUGGUCACUGACCUACUGAGCCUAGGACCACCUACCUCUAGAGAUUUUGUUAAGAGAGAUAAAUCAAAUGUCCAAAUUGCUUAAGCAAAUUUUAGUUGGCUAUUCUGUUAUUUGCAAUUGAAAACACCCUGCCUGAUAAGACUGUCCUUGUCUAAUGCAAUUUUAAAAUUAUGCCACCACAAUGAAUUUCAUGAAUAGAUUAUGAUUUCUGGAAUAAGUCAGCAGUCUUCUAUUAGCCUUUCACUUUCCAUGUUAAGAUUUUCAUUACAUGCUUUUAAAUUUUAAUCUUAAUAACUGUCUUAUAUAUUUUAAACCUAGAAGCUUCUUUGAAAACUACUUUGAUAAUGAAAGUAAAAUGUAGAUGGACUUUUUUGCCUUAAUUAUCAACAUGAUAAAUAUUCUCAAAAUAAAUGCUGUAAUGAAAGACAUUUUGGUGAGAGUGAAUGUAAACCUGUAACUCUACAUUGACGAUCCUCCUGCAGCUGUGAUAGGAUUAUGGCUUAAAUAUUUUGAAUUUCUGUUUAAAAAUAAACUUUAGUGCAGCUGAUGAGGAGAUUAUGUGUUUUAUUGAGUGUGUUGGCUGAAAUUACAUCUCUAAAAUAAAUAAGAUGUUGUAUAUUUUCUUGUCUGUGUUACAAAAACUUUUUGCUCCCCAGUGUACUGUUUGAAUAAAAGUAUGUUGGUGGCCACCACAUUCUCCCACAUGUGGAGCAAAAGUGGGAAGCUCUUUCUCUUUAAUAAUACCAAUCUUGCCCUGUUUCAAGAAGGUUUAGUGACUUGAUAAAAAUUACUUGUCAAAUGCAUUUUCUAGUGGGAUUUUCUUUUUUUUUCUUUUUAAAAUUUCUUUUUUUAUUUCUUUACUUUUUUUGAGACGAGGUCUCACUCUGUUGCCCAGGCUGGAGUGCAGUGGCACAAUCUUAGCUUGCUCUGGCCUGGAAUUCCUGGGCUCAAGCCAUCCUCCAGCCUCAGCCUCCCAAGUCGUUGGGUCUUCAGGUGUGCACCACCAUGCUCAGCUAAUUACCGUAUUUUUUUUUGUAGAGACGGGGUCUCACUAUGUUUCCCAGGCUGGUCACAAACUCCUGGCCUCAAGCCAUCUUCCCACCUCAGCCUUCAAAGUGUGGGAUUACAGGUAUGAGCCACCGCACUCGGCCAGCUAGUGGGAUUUUCAUAACCAAGAUCAGCUGUAUACCACACUUUUCUUAUAUGUUACAGAAUUUUCAAGAGUCUUUCUUCAUGCAUAGCUAAAACUGUUAGUUCUCCCUAAACAAAACUUUUACUCAAUUCCAGCACCCCCACCAUCACCACUUCCUGAACUACACAUACUUCAGUAUCUCCUGCCACAUGGACACCGCAUGCUACCCCUGCUUUGACUUCCUCCCCCUCGUCUCCCUAGAGAGCCUCCUAUGUUUGCAGCAAGGAUUAGUUACUACAGCAGUCCUCCAUUGCAAGUUGGUCCCUGCAUUAGACAGAGUUCUCCACAGAUACAGAACCAAUAGGAGCUGUAUCUAUGUCUCUAUGUCUUUCUCCCCUCUCUCUCAAUCUCUCUCUCUCUCUUUCUAGAUAUAUAUAUAUAUAUACAUAUACAUAUACAUGUAUAAUAUAUAUAAAUAUGCAUUUAAAUUAUAAGGAAUCGACUUACA